GUGAGGAAUAUUGCGCAAUGGAGGCAACUCUGACGCAGCCAUGCCGCGUGCAGGAAGAAGGCGCUACGCGUUGUAAACUGCUUUUAACCGGGAAGAAACCCCAGGACGUGUCCUGGGUUGACGGUACCGGAGGAAUAAGCACCGGCUAACUUCGUGCCAGCAGCCGCGGUAAUACGAAGGGUGCAAGCGUUAUCCGGAUUCAUUGGGUUUAAAGGGUGCGUAGGCGGAGCGUUAAGUCAGUGGUGAAAUCCUGCAGCUUAACUGUAGACUUGCCAUUGAUACUGGCGCUCUUGAGUGCGCUUGAAGUGGGCGGAAUGUGCCGAGUAGCGGUGAAAUGCUUAGAUAUGGCACAGAACACCAAUUGCGAAGGCAGCUCACUAAGGCGAUACUGACGCUGAGGCACGAAAGCGUGGGGAUCGAACAGGAUUAGAAACCCUAGUAGUCC
rnacentral:rRNA from 1 species